GACGAACGCUGGCGGCGUGCCUAACACAUGCAAGUCGAGCGAAGUUUUUAAAGCGGAUCCCUUCGGGGUGAAACUUUAAUUAUCUUAGCGGCGGACGGGUGAGUAACGCGUGAGAAACCUGCCUUUCACAAAGGAAUAGCCUCGGGAAACUGGGAAUAAUACCUUAUGAUACAUCUACUUCACAUGAAGAAGAUGUUAAAGCGUAAAGCGGUGAAAGAUGGUCUCGCGUCCCAUUAGCUAGUUGGUGAGGUAAUAGCUCACCAAGGCGACGAUGGGUAGCCGGCCUGAGAGGGUGAACGGCCACACUGGAACUGAGACACGGUCCAG
rnacentral:rRNA from 1 species